GCACCGAAAAUAGUCGGGUGGGAGCGCGGCGAAACCGCGAGGGCGGGCGCGGCGCAGUGCGUGUCGCUCCGCCGUGUGAACAGCCCGCUCGUGAGGCCGUAACUGGCGUAUUUUUUGACCGGACCGUAAAGACACAAAAGCCGCCACCAUGGACGCGAUUAAGAAGAAGAUGCAGGCGAUGAAGCUGGAGAAGGACAAUGCCAUGGACAAGGCCGACACCUGCGAGCAGCAGGCUAGGGACGCCAACCUCCGCGCCGAAAAGGUCAACGAGGAAGUCCGUGAGCUCCAGAAGAAGCUCGCCCAGGUGGAGGAGGACCUGAUCCUCAACAAGAACAAGUUGGAACAGGCCAACAAGGACUUGGAAGAGAAGGAGAAGACCCUCACCGCCACCGAGGCUGAGGUCGCCUCCAUGAACAGGAAGGUGCAGCAGAUUGAGGAAGACCUCGAGAAGUCCGAGGAGAGGUCCGGCACCGCCCAGCAGAAGCUGCUCGAAGCCCAGCAGUCUGCUGACGAGAACAACCGUAUGUGCAAAGUGUUGGAGAACAGGGCACAGCAAGACGAGGAGCGCAUGGACCAGCUCACCAACCAGCUUAAGGAGGCCCGUCUCCUGGCUGAGGACGCCGACGGCAAGUCUGACGAGGUAUCCCGCAAGCUGGCCUUCGUUGAAGACGAGCUGGAAGUAGCCGAGGACCGUGUCAAGUCUGGAGAUGCCAAGAUCUCAGAACUUGAGGAGGAAUUGAAGGUCGUAGGUAACUCCCUUAAAUCUCUGGAAGUAUCGGAAGAGAAGGCCAACCAGCGUGUCGAGGAGUUCAAGAAACAGCUGAAGACCCUCACCGGCAAGCUCAAAGAGGCCGAGGCCCGCGCUGAGUACGCCGAGAAGACCGUCAAGAAACUGCAGAAGGAGGUCGACAGGCUCGAAGACGCAUUAUUCAACGAGAAGGAGAAAUACAAGGCGAUAUGCGAUGACUUGGACGGCACAUUCGCCGAGCUGACAGGAUACUAACCAGCCCUACAGCACAUAGUUUAAGACAAUACCGUCCGUAUCACAUUACCCUAAAGUCCAUUUUGAUACGAUAUCAUGCAUCGCCUUCGUCCCUUAAAGUACAUGUUUAGCCCGACUGUAGAUUUGCUGCCAAGAUCGAGUUCCAUUUGUUUCAGAGUCUCUAAAACGUGUUAUUUCUAAUGCCUAACCUUUGGCUGGGUGUGUGGAGGUCUGCUGGUUACGUACAGCAUAGCGUAAUAUCCUCGCUGUACUCGCGGUACUCCUGCACACACUCCAGCCAAACCCUGCUUUUUCUGUUUGUGAUUAACAUGUCUAUCGCUUUGCUGCUACCGUCGCGGACCAAUGCUUCCAAGAUGAGCUCGGCAUCAACAAGGACAGAUACAAGAGCUUGGCUGACGAGAUGGACUCCACCUUCGCCGAGCUGGCCGGCUACUAGACCCACUCCACUCACACAUUCACACACUCGUACCAACACACGUACACACGCAGCCCGCUGCCACCGACACAUACACACUAUACAUGAAACAAAUACGUUUGUACACGUGAUGUAAUAUUUAUUAAUAUUUAAAUAUGUAAAUUUAUUUACGAUUUUCAAUAAAAAUUAAUUUAUAACAAG